rnacentral:rRNA from 1 species
GGACUACCAGGGUUUCUAAUCCUGUUUGCUCCCCUAGCUUUCGCAGUUGAGUGUCAGUAAUGGUCCAGUUACCUGCUUUCGCCAUUGGUGUUCCUCCCGAUCUCUGCGCAUUUCACCGCUACACCGGGAAUUCCAGUAACCUCUCCCAUACUCAAGUCCGACAGUUUCUGUUGGCCUCUCCCAGUUGAGCCGGGAGCUUUCACAACAGACUUAUCAAACCACCUACCUGCCCUUUACGCCUAGUAAUUCCGAGUAACGCUUGCCACCUUCGUAUUACCGCGGCUGCUGGCAC